CUUGGACACGUGGUCCUCUGCUUGUGCUCCAGGGAAUGAGCUCAAGCGAAUGGCAAAGCUCAGCCUUGGGGUUGUGCCAGGCAGAAACCAUGAGCUUUGUUUCCAAAUCUGACACUGCAGCAACUUCUUACAUGAAAUCCUACAGCCUGGCUUAAACUGAGCAGAUGUUCCAAGGGUCACUUGCUUCUUUAAUCCUGUUUUUUACUGCUUAGAUUCCACCUUCAAAGCCACUUUCUGGAUGUGAAAUAGCACUUGCUGGAGAAAAUCAGAAGCAUCAACAAGGAAAGCAGUGAAUAAAAUCAUGCCUUUGCAAUGCUAUUGGGUCCUUCCCAACACACCAAUGCAGGUCACUAAGUAAACUGCUCU